UGAUCCUGCCAGUAGUCAUAUGCUUGUCUGAAGGACUAAGCCAUGCAUGUCUCAGUCUAAGCGAAUUCAUAGUGAAACUGCGGAAGGCUCAGUAAAACAGUCAAUGUUCUUUUGAUGAUCUUUUAUACAUGGAUAACUGUGGUAAUCCUGGAGCUAAUACGUGCAACAAACCCGACUUCAAUGAAGGGUUGCAUUUAUUUGAGUGAACCAAAACGCUUUAGAAGCGGUUGAAGAUGAUCCGAAAUAAUCAUGCGGACUGUACAGAUUUUAUCCGGCAGUUUUUCAUUAGAGUAUCUGACCUAUCAGUUUUAGAUGGUAGAUUAUUGGUCUACCAUGGCUUUGACGGGUAACGGGGAAUUGGGGUUCGGUUCCGGAGAGGGAGCCUGAGAGAUGGCUACCACAUCUAAGGAAGGCAGCAGGCGCGCAAAUUACCCAAUAUUGAAACAGUGAGGUAGCGACAAGAAAUAACAAUGCAGAAUCCGUUGGAUUUUGCAAUUGGAAUGAGUUGAAUGCAAUGUCUUCAACGAGUAUCAAUUGGAGGGCAAGUCUGGUGCCAGCAGCCGCGGUAAUUCCAGCUCCAAUAGCGUAUAUUAAAGUUGUUGCAGUUAAAACGCUCGUAGUCUGGUUUCAAGGGGUCUGUCUGUCAAACUGUUUUGUUUGGUCAGAGUAACGACUCUUGUUCUUCCUAAUGUGUCUUCACUUCGGUGUAUUUGGCAUAAGAGGGAGUGAUACUUUGAGAAAAGUAAAGUGUUUCAAGCAGGUAAUGCCAUGAAUAUACGAGCAUGGAAUAACAAACAGACUUCCACUAUCUUUUGUUGGUUUAGGUUUUGGGGAUUCAUCACAGGAACGAUUGGAGGCAUUUGUAUUUUCCAGUCAGAGGUGAAAUUCUUGGAUUUGGAAAAGACAAACUACUGCGAAAGCAUUUGUCAAGAAUGUUUUCAUUGAUCAAGAACGAAAGUUAGGGGAUCGAAGACGAUCAGAUACCGUCGUAGUCUUAACCAUAAACUAUACCAACUAAAGAUUGGGAGAUGUCAUUUUUGACUUUUUCGGCACUUUAUGAUAAAUCAAAGUCUCUAGGUUCUGGGGGGAGUAUGGUCGCAAGGCUGAAACUUAAAGGAAUUGACGGAAGGGCA
rnacentral:rRNA from 1 species